GUUAAGGUGUCAGAUAAAUGUGCUGAAUUUAGGAUUCAGUUAUGGGUAGUUCCCCUUUAAUA
rnacentral:tRNA from 1 species